GGGAGAUCCCCGCUACACCAGCCUGUGUUGUUUGGCUAAUCUUCUUUGCAAAUUGUUGACCCGCCCUCACUUUUCUCAUUGGAUGGGGGGUGUGACCUCUCUUCCCAACCAGGAUAUUAAGGGUCCAGACAACUGGGAAGAUAUAAGCCUUUGGGGACCAAGCUGCUUGGGAGGUAUAUGUCGUUAUUCUUCCGUUCCCCGGAAAAGGACUCAUAUUAGAUCCUUCUGUAGGUGAUUCAGAAAAUCCAUGCUACUCAGUCCAGUAGAAGUUGUUCCUGUGCUGAUAGUUGGCUCCGUAUUAGCAGUAGCAGACAGUGCACAUCAACAUCAUCAUUCAUCACCCAGCCAAAAAGCCUCACUCAAGGUUCUACCAGUAUCACCUCUACAAUGACUGGCAGCACAUCUGCAGAGGUUUCCAGUACUGUACCUGAACACAGCACCAAAUGGAUCGCCCUACAUAUUGUCUAAAGCAAUUUUUACAUUCCAAUAGAUAUACUAUCCAUUUGGAGUUGCAGUUGUAAAAUCCUUUACUUUGAUAUGUUCGACCUGUAGCAUUGGAGGUGAACCCCUUACUGGUAUCUAUCACACCACAUGUUUUGCAUUUUGUAGAUCCGCACUUAUAAGUGCCCUUAGUGGAAAGCUAAUCACCCCUCUGCUUAAGGGCGGGUGAAGAAAUCAUACUGGGUGCUAAUACAUUACUCAAGGUGGGUGCUUUUUUGGACACAAAUUGCAUCUCAUUAGAGGACAAUAUCUUGUCUAGUUUUUCCUCUCCAUACAAGACCAGAAGAUAUUUCUUCACUACUCUACAAAUUUGGUUAUAUUCCUGGCUGUACUCCAUUACAUAAUAAAUCAUUUUAUCUUCCUGGGA